CCCCUAGAUGUUCUGGGCCGCACGCGCGCUACACUGAACAGUUCAACAAGUCUUAACCUUGGCCGAUAGGUCUGGGUAAUCUUUGAACGCUGUUCGUGAUUGGGAUAGACCUUUGCAAUUAUGGGUCUUCAACGAGGAAUUCCUAGUAAACGCAAGUCAUCAGCUUGCAUUGAUUACGUCCCUGCCCUUUGUACUCACCGCCCGUCGCACCUACCGAUUGAAUGGUCCGGUGAAAUCUCGGGACGGCGGCUUGGUCGCUUGCGUCCGACUGCUGAAACUUGAUUAAACCAUAUCAUUUAGAGGAAGGUGAANUCGUAACA
rnacentral:rRNA from 1 species